rnacentral:rRNA from 1 species
AUUGAACGCUGGCGGCAUGCCUUACACAUGCAAGUCGAACGGUAACAGGUCUUCGGAUGCUGACGAGUGGCGAACGGGUGAGUAAUACAUCGGAACGUGCCCAGACGUGGGGGAUAACGAGGCGAAAGCUUUGCUAAUACCGCAUACGAUCUAAGGAUGAAAGCAGGGGACCGCAAGGCCUUGUGCGUUUGGAGCGGCCGAUGGCAGAUUAGGUAGUUGGUGGGAUAAAAGCUUACCAAGCCGACGAUCUGUAGCUGGUCUGAGAGGACGACCAGCCACACUGGGACUGAGACACGGCCCAGACUCCUACGGGAGGCAGCAGUGGGGAAUUUUGGACAAUGGGCGAAAGCCUGAUCCAGCAAUGCCGCGUGCAGGAUGAAGGCCUUAGGGUUGUAAACUGCUUUUGUACGGAACGAAAAGGCUCUGGCUAAUACCUGGGGCACAUGACGGUACCGUAAGAAUAAGCACCGGCUAACUACGUG